UACAGAGACUGCGAGCGUUAUUCGGAUUCACUGGGCGUAAAGGGUGCGCAGGCGGCCAAGUGUGUGAGGCGUGAAAGCCCGGGGCUCAACCCCGGAAUUGCACCUCAAACUACAUGGCUAGAGUACUGGAGAGGGUAACGGAAUUCCCGGUGUAGAGGUGAAAUUCGUAAGAUAUCGGGAGGAACACCGGUGGCGAAGGCGGCGGAUCUGGGUCGGAAGUAUCUGA
rnacentral:rRNA from 1 species